AUAGUGCAGUUCAGAUCUUCAAUAAAAGAAGCGAGAUAAAACUUAUAACAGAUUAGCAGGAAGUAUUGCAUAAAAACGGCUCAUAUCACGCAUUUGGCUCAGACUGUCUAUAAUAUGUCUAGAUUUAUCGGUGACAUUGUAACUUUUCAGCGUCUUAGAUUUUCCUUACAGUUACAGUCUUACUGUAAGCCCGCCGCAAAUAAAUAAAAGAAAUCAGCUUAUAUUUAUAUUCAGUCUCGACGAAAUGUAAAUCAUUUGAAAUCAAGCCCUUAUUUGCGUUUUAAUGACUCACUACGAGUUGCAUGUCUCAAAAAAAAUAAUUAAAAAUUAUUCGCCGAAGGCGAGGUGAUUAUCGGUGAAUAUAAUUGUUCUAGUAUAAUUUGAUAGGUGAUUGUUUAGAAAAAAUUAAAAAAAAUACACAUUUCUUCGUCAUUUAAUUGACAAAACUUUGAAAAUGGCGUUAUAAUCACCUCAUGCAACGGCAACCAAUCAGCGUGGAGAAUUUUCAAU